rfam:Oryza brachyantha chromosome 1, whole genome shotgun sequence.
AAUAACCUUAUUUUCGUUUUUCCAUAUCUAACGUUUGACCAUUCGUCUUAUUUGAAAUUUUUUUGCGAUUAAUAUUUUUAUUAUUAUUAGAUGAUAAAAUAUGAAUAGUAUUUUAUACGUGACAAAUUUUUUUAAGUUUUUGUACAAAUUUUUUAAAUAAGACGAAUGGUCAAACCGAAAAAUAAACUUAUUGCAAGACGGAGG